AGUGAACGCUGGCGGCGUGCCUAAUACAUGCAAGUCGAACGGAGUGGCGCACGGGUGAGUGAUGUAUAGCUAAUCUGCCCUACACUAGAGGACAACAGUUGGAAACGGCUGCUCAUACUCUCUAGUGUAGGUUGAGGCUAUAUUGUAUCAGCUAGUUGGUGAGGUAAUGGCGCACCAAGGCGAUGACGGAUAACUGGUGUGAGAGGAUGAUCAGUCACACUGGAAGGUAGGCACGGUCCGGGCUCCUUCGGGAGGCAGCAGAAGGGAAUAAUGCUCAAGGGGGGAGACCCUGAAGCAGCAACGCGGCGUGGAGGAUGACACUUGGCGGAGCGUAGACUACUUUUGUUAGGGAAGCGUUACCUAACGAAUAAGCACCGGCUAACUCCGUGCCAGCAGCCGCGGUAAUAC
rnacentral:rRNA from 1 species